rnacentral:misc_RNA from 1 species
UUGAAUAAACUUGAACAGGCUGUUUUGCUGGCCCCUCGGUGGGGUAAGUGCACGCUUGUCAUCUUUGUUUCUCCCAACUGUGCACAUAUUGUAGACCCUGGAUUGAGGAUUGCUGUGUGGGCUUUCCUUGCAUUUUUUUUCCAGGUCUAUGUUGUUUUCACAAUCUCUGAAUGUUGUUAGAAUGUUUGUUGGAAUAUAUA